ensembl:lncRNA
ACCACCACCACCACCACCACCACCACCACCACCCCCACCACCUCUUCCUCCGCCGCCGCGCCCAUCUCCGUCAGCUGCACCCUGCCGUGCGGCCAUCGCUGCAGAUGCGCCACGUGCGUCCAGGGCGUCUGCGUUUCCCCGGCAACGGCAGCAGCAGCAGCAGCAUCGGCGUCUGCCGCAGACGCGUCGUCCCGGCCGGAGGUCCCCGACGGAACACAGGAGAUCCAGUACGAGGGGGAGGAGGGAGGUUCAGGCCGCACGGAGCUGGCUGGCGACCGGCUUGUGUGUGUGGGGUCAGCGGCGCGCUCCGCCCUCCAGGACGGCUCCCUGUCUUGUUCCCUCGUCAAGUAGAGCCCACUGGGUGUGAGCGUGUGGGUGUGCACGUUGCCACCUUGAAGAGACACUUUUUCUCAAAACUUUGAUAGCGGAUGAGAGCGUUUCCUUGGCCGCCCCACGACGACAAAGAGGCUGAACAUUUCUGGCUGUAUACCGGAUACGUAUACGGUGUACAAAACGUUGAAAAAAUAAGUAGUCCAAAUUCUGUGUAGGAGCUCAAGGAGGGGCGUUGAACUGCGAGUCCAUCCCAGCAUCUCCAGUGAUCUGUGAUCAUCUAGUCAUUCCCGGACGCCCUCAUCCUUCUCCAUGAGAUGUCAACCAUUCGACAAAGGUCCUCUUGUGUCUAAGCUUUCUGUGUGGCUCUCAGGCGGCUCCUUCCGUCGAUGCAUCAACUGUGAUCGCGUGGUACGCCAAAAACCCGAUAAACUUGAAAAUAAAUCCAAAUUGGUCUGUAGGCUAUCGAACACACUGUCGUGCGGGCCCCGCCCGGGGGGGAAACAGGGGACGUAAUCCUUCAUGUGAUAUUGUCGACCAAUUUGCAGUGAGCAGUGCAUUGUGGGACAUGUGGGAGUGGUUGGCUCGUUCAUCUGAGCGCCCUACACACACUGAGGCGAUGGAAGAGUGGCGAACUCGCCACUCUUAUAUCGGGUAUAUCGGGACUCUUGAAUGCCGCGAGUCGUGUUACCUCUCCUAAGUAGGAUAUACUUAUGGGGGAAAGCUGCUUGAGAAAGUUGGCUUCACUUCACGUUGAAGUGGAUUUUUUUUCCUAAUUGAAAUAUUGACUAUUGUCAUGUCGCCAUAUCCCAGAUGUUAAUUCAGUAGUGAGCACGCCAUGAUGAUCCUCAUCAUAUUUCUUUUGUACACCUUGAUAUUCACUUAUAUCCUUGCAUCAUAUGCAUGCUGUGGUCUUUGGAGAGGAUAUGAAGGUGAUGAAUAAAUACGAUUAUUUAAGUAUUUAACAGGUAUUUCCUAUUUUAUGCUCUUUGUUGAAGGGAAUGUAAAUUUCAACUUAAUCAUUUUCAAAUAUUGUCAAAUUUGAUUUAUCAAUGCUUGCAUAAUGUACUUCAAAUGUACAUUAUUAGACAAGGGGUUUAAAAAUAAUGUCUCUUUUUAAUAUUUCUAGAAACUAUAUACCAUGUUUGUUUUGAGAUAUUGUCAAUCACUUCAUAAUAAAACAUGCAAUAGGCAACUUAUUAACCACAAGCAGGAGUGUUGAAACAUGUGUUUAAACAAGAUGGCUGAAGGAAAUCAAUAUCAAACACAUUUUUUAAAUAAGCAGUUCAAAUCAAAACAGAAGAUGUAACGCCUGAGCUCUCUGGGAUUCAUGAGAUAGGGGUUAUCCAUGCACAGUAAGAAGGUUUACUGAAAGCACAGUUUCUAAGUAUAAGUUCUGCCGUGAUACUUAUCGUUUGCGUUUAAUACCCCCUGCUACUGCUACAAUUUAUUGUUGUGACUUGAAUGAGAUAAGUUGAAUAAGUCACCUAUUUUGGGGCCAGGUUUGAUACUUUUGAGCCUAUCCUCUGAUCAUCCAUGUAAUUAUGCGGAGCUGUAAGCUAUCGGCCUACUCUGCUGCGACUUCAUUUAAUUCAUAUUUAUGAAUGGGUUAUCCAAAACCUUUCUCCUGAGUGAAGGGUUGUUCACGGGUUGCUGCUGUUUCGUGGGUUCCGUAAAUGAGAUGUUUUUUGUGUUGGGUUAGUAUUUAAGUGCCUUAACCUUGACCUUAAUGCUAUUACGUUGCACCACAGGCUUCCUAGAGUGGUUAUAUUGACUGUGCGAAAACGGUCUUCUUUCCACAGAUGCUUUGGUUUGAUUUAUUUAGAGUGGAUUGUGUCAGGCGUUGAAGAAAGGGUUUUUAUUCAGUUUGUUUAUAUGUGCACUGUGCUGUCCCUUGUUCAAGUAUG